UAAAGCAGCGUGUACUAUUCAGGGAAAAAUCCCUUUCCAAAUCCUGUAUGCAGCAUGCAUCAGCCCCAGUGAAACUGAGAGAAGCCCGUUAAGAAAUCCGAUUAGCUGUCUGCUCUCUAGCUUCUUGUGCAGCCAACCACUCAACAGAAUCCUUCAGCCUCUUGUUUCAAAAGACCUUGGACAAUCUUCUGCUGUUCCACUCCCUUUGGUCCCACAUUUCAGCAAAAAAAAAAAAAAAA